rnacentral:rRNA from 1 species
UGAGUAACCUGCCCUGGACUUUGGGAUAACCCUCGGAAACGGGGGCUAAUGCCGGAUAUGACACGCUCUCGCAUGGGAUGUGUGUGGAAAGUUUUUUCGGUCUGGGAUGGGCUCGCGGCCUAUCAGCUAGUUGGUGUGGGUAAUGGCCCACCAAGGCGACGACGGGUAGCCGGCCUGAGAGGGUGACCGGCCACACUGGGACUGAGACACGGUCCAGACUCCUACGGGAGGCA